ACGAACGCUGGCGGCGUGCUUCACACCUGCCAGUCGCACGGAAAGGCCCUGCUUUUGUGGGGUGCUCGAGUGGCGAACGGGCGAGUAACACGUGAGUAACCUGCCCUUGACUUUGGGAUAACUUCAGGAAACUGGGGCUAAUACCGGAUAGGAGCUCCUGCUGCAUGGUGGGGGUUGGAAAGUUUCGGCGGUUGGGGAUGGACUCGCGGCUUAUCAGCUUGUUGGUGGGGUAGUGGCUUACCAAGGCUUUGACGGGUAGCCGGCCUGAGAGGGUGACCGGCCACAUUGGGACUGAGAUACGGCCCAGACUCCUACGGGAGGCAGCAGUGGGGAAUAUUGCACAAUGGGCGGAAGCCUGAUGCAGCAACGCCGCGUGCGGGAUGACGGCCUUCGGGUUGUAAACCGCUUUCGCCUGUGACGAAGCGUGAGUGACGGUAAUGGGUAAAGAAGCACCGGCUAACUACGUG
rnacentral:rRNA from 1 species